rnacentral:lncRNA from 1 species
UUGAUCUUCUACAGAAAAGUCUGUAUCAACGUCAGCAAGAGCCUUUAGAACCCCCUCCUCUUCGUUCUCUUCAUCCUCCUCAUCCGCUUCUUCUGCAAGCGCCCGAUCUCGAACUUCAGUGGCCUCCUUAGGGUACUUACGGGCCCAGUCAUGGACAUCCGCAGCCUCGAAACCCGGGCAAACAUGAGGACCCAGAUCAACCAUGUCAUUAUAAUCUCGCACGUUGACGAGAUAGUCAGCUUGGAGUGUCUCCAGAUGGGUGACCACACGCUGAAGC